GACGAACGCUGGCGGCGUGCUUAACACAUGCAAGUCGAACGGAAAGGCCCUGCUUUUGUGGGGUGCCCGAGUGGCGAACGGGUGAGUAACACGUGAGUAACCUGCCCUUGACUUUGGGAUAAGUUCAGGAAACGGGGGCUAAUACCGGAUAGGAGCUCCUGCUGCAUGGUGGGGGUUGGAAAGUUUCGGCGGUGGGGGAUGGACUCGCGGCUUAUCAGCUUGUUGGUGGGGUAGUGGUUUACCAAGGCUUUGACGGGUCGCCGGCCUGAGAGGGUGACCGGCCUCAUUGCUCCUGAGAUACGGCCCAGACUCCUACGGGAGGCAGCAGUGGGGAAUCUUGCCCAAUGGGCGGAAGCCUGAUGCGACGACGCCGCGUGCGUGAUGACGUCCUUCGGGUUGUAAACCGCUUUCGGCUGAGACGAAGCGGGAGUGACGGUAAUGGGUAAAGAAGCACCGGCUAACUACGUG
rnacentral:rRNA from 1 species